CGCGGCCUAUCAGCUUGUUGGUGAGGUAAUGGCUCACCAAGGCGACGACGGGUAGCCGGCCUGAGAGGGCGACCGGCCACACUGGGACUGAGACACGGCCCAGACUCCUACGGGAGGCAGCAGUGGGGAAUAUUGCACAAUGGGCGAAAGCCUGAUGCAGCGACGCCGCGUGAGGGAUGACGGCCUUCGGGUUGUAAACCUCUUUCAGCAGGGAAGAAGCGAAAGUGACGGUACCUGCAGAAGAAGCGCCGGCUAACUACGUGCCAGCAGCCGCGGUAAUACGUAGGGCGCAAGCGUUGUCCGGAAUUAUUGGGCGUAAAGAGCUCGUAGGCGGCUUGUCACGUCGAUUGUGAAAGCCCGAGGCUUAACCUCGGGUCUGCAGUCGAUACGGGCUAGCUAGAGUGUGGUAGGGGAGAUCGGAAUUCCUGGUGUAGCGGUGAAAUGCGCAGAUAUCAGGAGGAACACCGGUGGCGAAGGCGGAUCUCUGGGCCAUUACUGACGCUGAGGAGCGAAAGCGUGGGGAGCGAACAGGAUUAGAUACCCUGGUAGUCCACGCCGUAAACGGUGGGAACUAGGUGUUGGCGACAUUCCACGUCGUCGGUGCCGCAGCUAACGCAUUAAGUUCCCCGCCUGGGGAGUACGG
rnacentral:rRNA from 1 species